AUGUGUGAACAUUAUUUGCUACGUGUUUCUUGGCCUAAUUUCAAAACUAUCGGGAAAACGCUUUCUGUUUCUUUUACAGUGUUGUUUUUCCUUCCAACCAAAAGCCAUAUGUCUUUUGCCAUAUUCCUUGGGAAAAUUCUUUCUGUUUCUUCUACGGAAUGUCACUUUGUUCUUCUACAAGAAUAUGAUUCGAACAGCCAUAUCGGUACACUUCAGCGGUCCAGGAAGCCAUUUCUUGGCAUGCUGGUGGAUCUGUGGCAUAGUGACAUGCAAAAGUACAGGGUUUUUGUAGGCAGUUGA
rnacentral:rRNA from 1 species